CCGCGGUAAUACGUAGGUGGCAAGCGUUAUCCGGAAUUAUUGGGCGUAAAGCGCGCGCAGGCGGUUUCUUGAGUCUGAUGUGAAAGCCCACGGCUCAACCGUGGAGGGUCAUUGGAAACUGGGGAACUUGAGUGCAGAAGAGAAAAGCGGAAUUCCACGUGUAGCGGUGAAAUGCGUAGAGAUGUGGAGGAACACCAGUGGCGAAGGCGGCUUUUUGGUCUGUAACUGACGCUGAGGCGCGAAAGCGUGGGGAGCAAACA
rnacentral:rRNA from 1 species